AUUGAACGCUGGCGGCAGGCUUAACACAUGCAAGUCGCACUAGUGUCGGACGGGUGAGUAAUGUCUGGGAAACUGCCUGCUGGAGGGGUAGAACUACUGGAAACGGUAGCUAAUACCGCAUACUAUCCGAUGUGCCCCUAGGGGAUUAGCUUGUGGGUGGGGGAACGGAUCACCAAGGUGACGCUCCCUAGCUGGUAUGAGAGGAUGGUCAGCAACACUGGGACGGUGACACGGUCCAGACUCCUACGGGAGGCAGCAGUGGGGAAUAUUGAACAAUGGGCGCAAGCCUGAUGCAGCCAUGCCGCGUGUAUGAAGAAGGCCUUCGGUUUGUAAAGUACUUUCAUCUGGGAGGCGUUACCCGCAGAAGAAGCACCGGCUAACUCCGUGCCAGCAGCCGCGGUAAUUC
rnacentral:rRNA from 1 species